UGGGGAAUUUUGGACAAUGGGCGAAAGCCUGAUCCAGCAAUGCCGCGUGUGUGAAGAAGGCCUUCGGGUUGUAAAGCACUUUUGUCCGGAAAGAAAUCCUUGGCUCUAAUACAGUCGGGGGAUGACGGUACCGGAAGAAUAAGCACCGGCUAACUACGUGCCAGCAGCCGCGGUAAUACGUAGGGUGCAAGCGUUAAUCGGAAUUACUGGGCGUAAAGCGUGCGCAGGCGGUUUGCUAAGACCGAUGUGAAAUCCCCGGGCUCAACCUGGGAACUGCAUUGGUGACUGGCAGGCUAGAGUAUGGCAGAGGGGGGUAGAAUUCCACGUGUAGCAGUGAAAUGCGUAGAGAUGUGGAGGAAUACCGAUGGCGAAGGCAGCCCCCUGGGCCAAUACUGACGCUCAUGCACGAAAGCGUGGGGAGCAAACAGGAUUAGAUGCCCUGGUAGUCCACGCCCUAAACGAUGUCAACUAGUUGUUGGGGAUUCAUUCCUUAGUAACGUAGCUAACGCGUGAAGUUGACCGCCUGGGGAGUACGGUCGCAAGAUUAAAACUCAAAUGAAUUGACGGGGUCAUAGCUGUUUCCU
rnacentral:rRNA from 1 species